rnacentral:lncRNA from 1 species
UGAUGGUGUGGACAGUGCAGAAACAUGUGGGCAAGAGUUUCCAAUGCACCCUGCUUGCAUGAAGAAUGUCUUUCGAGAUGAUGAACAGGAGAAGAGGACUUGCCCAGCAACAUCUGGGGUAACCUGGGCAGGAACUCAAAAUCAAGCAAGAAA